UACGUAGGUGGUUUUCUAAGCACGGGGUUUAAGGCAAUGGCUUAACCAUUGUUCGCCUUGUGAACUGGAAGGCUUGAGUGCAGGAGAGGAAAGCGGAAUUCCUAGUGUAGCGGUGAAAUGCGUAGAUAUUAGGAGGAACACCAGUGGCGAAGGCGGCUUUCUGGACUGUAACUGACACUGAGGUACGAAAGCGUGGGGAGCAAACA
rnacentral:rRNA from 1 species